AUACAAUGGUCAUCCGACAGACCGAAGAUGUACCUUCAAUGAAAAGUAAUCAAAUCUGUUUUGUUCUGAUUUGACAGUCAGAUCCCUAUUAUAUAAUGGUAAAUUGUUAAUUAACUAACAACUAAGUAUACUGUAUGGGAAAAUAAUAUUUUAGGUAUUCUGGUAGAAUAAACAAAUAUUUUGUUAAACAGAAAUUAGUGUCAUUGAUAGGGCCAUUUUAGAAUAUUCUCCAAAUAAAUGCAGUGGGGAACAAUGCUAUUGAUUGAACCUAUUUCAUAUUAACCAAGCAUUCUAACAGUGUGCUCUAUCCCCAGCCCCUCAUAUUUUUUACCACUUUCUUCUUUUUUGAACCCAGAUAUGUUUUAAUUUUGAGACAGAUCUUGCUAAAUUGCUUAGGGUCUUGCUAAAUUUCUGGGGCUAACCUUAAGAUUGUGAUCUCCUGCCUCAACCUUCCAGAUUGCCAGGUAUUCAAACAUGCACAGGAAAGUAGGUAUAGCACAAAGAAAGGUACUUCAAAAGAAUUUGUAUCAUUUUGUAUUUGUUCUAUUCAAAAUAAGAGAAUAUUUGCUUUUACUCCUCUCCAGCCAUUGAUUAUGUUGUCAAAUUUGAAUUUUUGUCUAUUAAUGUCAUCAGCAUAAUUUUAAUUGCAUCUUAUUAUGAACCAGUAUUUUUUCAAAUGGUCAGGAGCCACUUACCAUUGGAUUUUUGUUUUGAGAAGAGUUUUGACCUUGACAUAGCUGUUGCUACCUUUUGCAGGCAAGCAUCCCUCCUACCACAACUUCCUGAGUGCUGGAAUUAUAUGUGGGCACCACUGAACCCAGCCCCUUUUUUAUAUUGUAGUAAAUCCUUUGGUAGCUCUUGCAGGACAUUUUUUCUAUGGGAUUGUUCUUAACUUUUUUUCUCCCCUGUUUUUUUUUUAUAUAUCAAUGCUACUAAAAGUUUGCCUGGUUUAUAAUUUGCAAAUUAUUUUCCCAGAUCAUUUUUCUUUAUGCUUUUUGUUGUUGUUGUUGUAGGUGGACACAAUACUUUAUUUCAUUUUUCAUGGUGCUGGAGGUACAAACCCAGUGCCUCACAUGUACUAGGCGAUCACUCUACUACUGAGCCACAACCCCAGUCCAGUCCCUCUUUAUGCUUUUUCUGUGCCGUUUUUGUUUCCUUGCUGUUUUAUUAUGUAGUGCUGGGAAUUAAACCCCAGGUAUCUGCAUCCCCAGCCCUAUGUUUUAUUUUAAUAUUUGAUAUCAAAUAUCAAAUAUUUUAAUAUUUGAUAUUUGAUAGGACUCACUCACUCUUACUCUGUAAGAUUUUCUUUUCUUUUUUAGUGUAAUAUAUGUGAUUGUGUGUGUUUAUUAAUGUUGAGCUGAGUGUCGAACCCAGUCCCUCACACUUGCUGGGCAAAUUCUCUUACUACUGAGCCAGAAGCCCAUCUGUAAGAUUUUCUUUUUUCUUUUUGCUUCCAAAUAUAAAAUUUUAUUUUAUGAAAUAAAACUUUGUAUACUUUUAAUAAUCUAAUGAUAUAACUGGCAUCUUCAUAAUAUUGAGUCUUAUUCAAUAGCUUGAAUUUUCUAUUCAUUCAAUAUAGUUUCCCUUAAGAAUGUUUUAAACUUUUCCACAUAUAAGUUUCCUUCUUAAAAGAAAUGUCAUUAUACAAAAUGUAAAUGAAAUUUUACAUCAUUUUCUUCCCAAUCCUUACAUAAGAUUAAGGUUAAUUAUUUUAUUAUGUUGAUAUAUAACAGUAACACUUCUAGUAUUAAAUUAUUUCAUGAAAAUUGCCUUUUAGAAAAUAUUAUAUACUCUCAUUCAAAUACCCUUUUCUUGAAAAGAUGCAUUAUAGUCACUUUCCUCUACCUAAAAUUCAAUGUGUUUUAUUAUUUUGUUGUUUAGAGUUCAAAGAGCUUUUAUUUCAGUUUUUAUUGUUUAGGGCAUUGAAAUCAUUAAAGGUAAAAGUUUAAUUUUGUUGACUCCUGGUGAAAUUUUGAUUGUUCAGAGAGUUUCCUUCAGAUUCACAUCAGUUUUGAAAGUAUUGGUAGUUAUAUUAUACGCCACAUUUAAUAUUAUAAGCUAUCUGAAGUCAGUUUAUUCCAUUUUUGGAGAGGUUAACUUACAGCUCUAUUAAGCCUCACAAUUUGUCACAUUUCUUAUGUCUUUGGUUUGAAAUAAUCAUUGAGAGUAUGUUAAUUUAUAUUUUUCUCUCUUCCCUAUGUAUUUUUGCUGUGAUAUACAUAAAUUAUUUGUUUGGCACCUUUAAUUUCCUUCUACAAUUUCAAAUUUAAUUGAACCCUUGGAUCUAAAUUUGCAACUCAUUUUUUUCUUUGUCAGUUAUUGUACUAUUAAUGUAUCUCCAAACCCUCCAAAAUACAUCUUCUACCUCUAUAGGAAGUUGCCAUGUUUCUGUGUCCUGUUUUCUUUUCCCCCUCAAAGUUUUUUAUUUUUUAAUUUUUUUUUGGAUGUUCUUGUUGUUAAUGGGAAUUGAACUUAGGGACACUCAAGCACUGAGCCACAUUCCCAGCCCUUGUUCAUAUUAUUUUAUGUUGAGUCAAGGUCUAGCUGAAUUGCUGAGGCUGGCUUUGGACUUGGGAUUCCCCCGACUCAGCCUCCCAAGCUGCUGUGAUUACAGGUGUGAGCCACCACACCUGGCUUCAAAGUUUGUUACAUUGAUUGAUCUUCAUUUUCUUCAUUAUAAGGAAUGUUAUGUGAUUUUCCUGACUUCACAACAAGGCAUAAUUUUAAUCUGAAUUUCCGCAUUAUUUUCCUUGACUUUAAAAAUAAUUUUUAUGUUUUUUCACUUUUUGUAUUUUUUGAUCAUUACAUAAGUCAUACAUAUAUUCUACUUCAUGUUUUAAGCAUUACACAAAUUUAGAAUCCCCUGAAGAAUGUACACUAUUUACUUGCUUUUACAUCUUUAAUAAUAUAUAUGGGUCUGAGGUGGUGGCUCAGUGACACAGUGCUUGCCUUGCACACGUGAGGCAUUGGAUUUGAUCCUCAGCACCACAUAAAAAUAAAUAAACACAAUAAAUAUUAAAUAAUAAUAAUAAUAACGGUCUAGUUUAGGUCUUCAGAAAUACCCCAAAAUUGCAGCAUGCAGUAGUACAUGUCUACAAUUUGAGAGACUGGACCCUGAGACAACUUAGGAAGACUGUCUCAAAAUAAAAUGGCUCAAAGGAAUGGGGCAGUGGGGGAUUGUAAUCUUAAAAACAAACAUUUUAUUUAAAAGUUUAGUUUUCAGGGUUGGAGUUGUGGGUCAGUAGUAGAGUGUUUUUCUUAGACAUAUGAGAUACUGGGUUUGAUCCUUAGCACACAUAAAAAUACAUAAAUAAACUAAAAGUAUUGUGUCCAUCUAAAACUAAAAAAAUAUAUAUACAUUUUUUUAAUUUUUAUUGUUGGUUGUUCAAAACAUUACAUAGUUCUUGAUAUAUCAUAUUUCACACUUUGAAAAAUAUAUAUUUUUUAAUGUUUACUUUUAAAAGGCUGGGAUGUAACUCAGUUGGUUGGGAUCAUGCUUAAAAUGCACAGGCCCUGGGUUGUAUCCCCAGCACCACACACCCAAACAAAAAAAGAAAGAGUUUAGUUUUUAAAUAGAUAAAUUUGGUAACUGAUCUGUUAUCCAUUUAUACUUUUAUAGUUAUAUGACUCUCAAAUAUUCUGUCUCAGGUUAUUAUCCUGCUUUAUCUUUCAACUCACUUACAAUUACCCUCUUGCAGUCGUAACUGUAUAUGUCAAGGAACUGACCCAAAGACUUGUGGAGCUUCAUACUCUUAUGGCUGUUCAUGGAGCAUGUAUUUCAAUGGAUGUAAAUUUGGUAGAAGCCCAAACCCCAGAAGGUUUAGAAUUGAUCCCAGCUGUCCCAGACAUGUAAGUGUCCUCUUCCCUUUUAAAUUACAUAGCGUGUAUAUAAAUGUAUUCCUUUAACGUUUUUGAAAUACUAAAUAUGUACAUAUAUUUUUAAAACUACAUAUAUUAAAACUUAGUAAUGAAAUCAAGUGUGGUAGCUCAUGCCUAUAAUCCUAGCUACUUGGAGGUAGAAGCGUAGGAAGUUUUAGGCUACUCUUUGGAAUUUUGUAAUUUUGUAAGACCCUGUUUCAAAAAUAAAAUUUACAAAAGGUAGUUGUGUUACAGUACCUCUGAGUUUGAUUUCCAGGACCACCAAGAAAAUAUGUCAAGAAAUAAAAAAGUAGUAAUGAAAUACCAAAUAUGUUUACGUAAAUAAUUAAAAGUUCCAAAUAUCCUGCUAUGGUAGCACAGGCCUAUAAUUCCUGUAAUUCAGGAGGCUAAGGCUGGAGGAUCCAAAGUUUAAAGCCAACCUCUGUACCUUAUCGAGGCACUUCGCUACUCAGUGAGACUCUGCCUCUAAAUAGAAUGCAAAAUAGGUGUUGUGAUGUGGCCCUGUGUUUGGACUCCAUCCCAGGUACACACACAAAAAAAAGUUCAAAUAAAUUAGGUAAAGAUAUUAUUUUUGGCUCCUUCCUCCUGCGCCUCAACCCUCAUGGAAACUAUUGAUAGAUGAACCUAGAAUUUUACACUUCUAGUAGAAAAAAACCAUUUACCAUUUGCCAACAUUUCAAAGACUCAGAAAGUUUAACUACCCACAGAACCUCUAUGACAGAAUUACUAAAGGACGUAAUGCA
rnacentral:lncRNA from 1 species